rnacentral:rRNA from 1 species
UACAGAGGGGCCAGCGUUAUUCGGAAUUAUUGGGCGUAAAGGGCGCGUAGGCGGCCAUGCGUGUCUUCCGUGAAAUCCCUCGGCUUAACUGAGGACGUGCGGAAGAAACUGCAAGGCUCGAGUCCGGGAGAGGGGGUGGAAUUCCCAGUGUAGCGGUGAAAUGCGUAGAUAUUGGGAGGAACACCGGUGGCGAAGGCGGCCCCUGGACCGGUACUGACGCUGAGGCGCGAAAGCGUGGGUAGCAAACGGG